UACGGGGGGUGCGAGCGUUGUCCGGAAUCACUGGGCGUAAAGGGCGCGUAGGUGGUUUGAUAAGGGUGUGGUGAAAGUCCGGGGCUCAACUCCGGAUCUGCCGUGCCGACUGUCAAACUCGAGGGCUGUAGAGGCAGACGGAAUUCCGGGUGUAGCGGUGGAAUGCGUAGAGAUCCGGAGGAAGACCGGUGGCGAAGGCGGUCUGCUGGGCAGUUCCUGACACUGAGGCACGAAGGCCAGGGGAGCAAACGGG
rnacentral:rRNA from 1 species